rnacentral:rRNA from 1 species
AAACCAUUUGUUGCUUC